UCCUGAGUGGGUGUAGGGGGCCCUGCUGGGCCAGGUGCUGGGAGCAGGUUCCAGGCCCCCAGGCCCUGUCGAGCACAGGAACCGGUAUGUGCAGCUCACUCUUGUGCAUUCUAGUCCUGCCAGGAAACCAGAGUCCCUGUGGGGCUUUGGGGCUUUGUCCUCAAUUCCCAGGUUUGGGAAUCUCACCAGCUGGGAGCCUCAGGGGCUCCCAGAUCACAGCAUCAAAGAAUGGUUUGGGUUGGAAGGGGCAUUAAAGCCUCAUCUCAUUCUAACCUCCCUGCCAUGGACAGGGGCACCUUCCACUAACCCAGGUUGCUCCAAGCCCCAUCCAACCUGGCUUUGAACAGUUCCAGAGAUAGGGCAGCCACAGCCUCUGUGCCAGGACCUUACCACCCUCACAGUAAAGAAUUUCCUCCUCAUAUCUAAUCUAAACUCCUCUCUGUCAGUGUGAAGCCAUUCCCUCUCAUCCUGUCACUCCAGGCCCUUGUCAAUUGUCUCCAUCUUGUCUCCUCUGCAAAUUGGAAGGCCACAUAAGGUCUCCUUGGAGCCUUCUCCAGGCUAAACAACCCCAGCUUACUAGGCCUGUCCUCAUAGUUAAUUAUUUUCUGAUUGAUUUUUGGUAAUCUGCUUUAGAGACUCUCCUAGGGAAAAGAGGUUCCCAUCUUCUAAAGAGUGUGAGCAUUUCAGGAGCUCUUGAGGAGGAAGGGCUGCCGAAUAGCAGGUGUAAAACCUCUCCUUCAUUUUAGGAGCACCAGCUUCCAGGAUCAGUUGGAGUUACAUAGCCUCCUUGAAUCAGCUAUUCAGUGAAAUCAUGGUCACGUGCAGUGUUACAACACCAAAUCCUUCCAGUCUAAAGAGCACAAACAGUAUCUAGAGAGCUUGUUAUUACCAAUAAUCUAAUUGAUACUUUUUUAUAAAAUUGACACAUUCUGCUGUCAUUUAUUUCACUCUCUACCCAACACCCUUCUCCCCCAGGUUAUCCCUAUAUCAUUCCCAUGUUCCCAACAGAUUCAGUGACCCCAAAGCAGGUAUUUUAUCCCUACUGCCUGGACAAGAUACCACUUAAAAUGCCUAAGAGCAUGGACAAGGCAGGUUCUCCUUGCUGAUCCUCCCAUGAGGAUGCCAAGAAUUCUCGGCUGCACCUAGCCACUGAUCCCUGGCUAUAGGAGCAUUGAUCCCUGGUUGGAGGAACAUUGAUCCCUGGAUAUAGGAACCUGCUCCUCUCUGAUUCCUCUACAUAUUUGAUUGAAAUAGGACAGUUGGUUCCUAAUGGGCAGCUGACAGUGAGAUAAAUAAAGCUGUAUUUCCUUCAAAAACUAGAGGAAAAAAUCAUCCCCAAGCCUGUCAAAACUAUUACCAUGAAAUUAAUCCUCAAAUCUGAAAAUAUAUAUUAAAAUCAAAGUGAGCUUCUGAACUGUCUUUGAUUUUGAAACUUCUUGGAAGAAAUGUACACUAUUAGGUGUUGAUUCGUCUGACCUGUUUCAGGGCUCUACCUUAGGAAUAGGUGAAUCAUGCCCUAGAAAGGCUGCUUCAGUAUUUGACAAAGGGGCUUUCCUUAUUUUGUUUGAUGAUCUAUUCUCAGUUUGUUAUUACUUAUAAUAUUUUACCAUUUUUUUAAUACUCUGUUAAUUUUUGCUCAGGGCAAGGAUGGGCUGAUAAUAUAUCUUUCUCUGAGAACUGUGGUUUCAAAACAAUCAGAAGUUUCACUCCUGUGAUAUUGCAGUUUGUCUUCUGGAAGGGAUGUGUGGAAUAGAAACAGUGAAGUCAUAAGACCAGAGAAGACAGAAACCCAGAGGCGAAAAAGAUACUCAUGACAAAUUCUCCUGCAAGCUCAGACAUUAAUCCUUGGGAAAAGUGAGUGUCAGGAACCUGGUUAUGGAACCAUGGGGCCAUUUAUGGACAGCCUUUGCUGGAGAGAAAUUGAAAUUCUAAAGACUGAGACAAGAAGAGGGAAGAAAAGUGGCAAAAGGAAGAAGAGAAAGAAGAGGUGCUGGAGAACCGCAGCAGAAAGAAACUCAGAAUGCCACUUCAGCCUUGCAUCGGCCUGGCAAGGCAUCCAGGGGAUGGAAUGCUGGCACUACACUUUCCUGCAGGAUUUAACUAGCAAGAAUUUACAUCUCACCUGGAUGUUCUGCAGCAUCACUCCUCCCGGGGCUCUGGAAAAUGGAAAAUAUGGACUCCAUUGCUGGCUCCACCUAGAAGAGAAGAGGACAAGGAGCGUCGAACCUUUCCCAGCAGAUAGGAGCAGAAGCGGGGUGGGAAGGGGGGGGAGGGGAGGGGGCGGACGCUGGUACAGCACACUUUGGUAGUGCCCAGCUAGGAGCUACAAACGUGCCCAAGCCACCGAGCCUCCCGGGACAGAGAGGGCACAAAGACCUGAAGCUAGGUGAACCAUGAGCUUUAUCCAGAAACCAGCGUGAUAAGGAGCGCCUUUUUCCCCAAGCUCAGUCUCCCUGGGAAGCGUCAACCAGACUAUAAGCUACAAAACCCUCUGAUCGGCCUCACCUCGUGUUUCCUGCCACGCUUUAAAUCCCGGCCCACGGGCGCUUGUCCCCUCCUGCGGCGCCGCUCCGCCCUCUCCCGAGACCUGGGCCUCCUCGAUCGGGUCCUCGCCUCGGCCCGGCCCCGCUGCUCCGAGGUGCUGCCGGCUCUUCCCGGCACAGCCCAGCGCUCCUGCCCAGGGCCGAGACCCGGCCAGGGGGUCAGUGCCGCUCCCCUCAGCCCGCGGGAGCACCGAGCACUCUUCGGGUUCGCCCUUCGGCGUCGCAAGCCCCUGGAAAUACUGCGGGAGCUCUUCCUCUGCUGCCCCGCGCGGUUCCAACCCCGCGCUCCGGCUCCAAACGUUCGUUUGCUGGGUUCCCCCGCAUGGAUCGUCCAGGGGGCUCCGUGGCCCCGCUGGGCACCAAAGGGCUGAGCUGGCAGGGAGUGCAGCUUGGCAAGGUGAGUCACGGAAUGGAAUGGUCAUCGUCCUACCCCUCUGCUCAAGUGAUGUCAUCCCAGAGCACACAGGAUUGCAUUCGGAUGGUUCUGGAACACCCCGAGUGAGGUAGACUCCACACCUUCUCUGUGCAAUCUGCGCAGUGUUAGGAAUAAGGUGUAGUGAUUGGCUCAUGUGAUUGGCUCAUGCAAAUGAUGAGGGGGUUAUUAAAUAUACUUUUGUCUUAGGUUGCAAUGGAAGAUGGGGUCAGGGGUUUGUGUUCUGUUGUUCUCCAGGUGGGGCAGUUAUCUGUUAAUGGACCAUCUGGUCUCACUGCAUGACUGAUAAAAUCAUAUAAUCCCAUUGUGAGAUACUCUACCCGGUGGGACGAGCCAAGCAUUCCUACCUGGAUCGAAUCUGAGACUUGAAACACCACAGGUAGCAUUUUGCCGCGGGAUUCCCAGAGGAGCAGCUUUCUUUUGCACUGGAUUUCUAGAGGAAGACCAGGCCCAUCUACACCACCACUGGCCCUUCAGAGGAAAACUACACUCUUCUACAGGAUCACUGCUCCAACAGAACCACACCUGUCACUCCAGGAAGACUGUAGCCACCAUUUAAUCAGACUGCAACCAACACCCUGACCAACAGGGUGUUGACUCUAUCAGUGUUGUUUUGUAUUACUGCAUUUUUAUUUUAUUUUCCUAAUAAAGAACUGUAAUUCCUACUCCCAUA